AGGUGACUAUAGCACUGAGGUUCCACCUCUUCCCAUUCCGAACAGAGAAGUUAAGUUCAUUUGUCUGCCUUGCCUUGUUUUGCUUUGCUUUUCUUUUCUUUGUUUUGCUUGUUUUCUUGGGGUCAGCAGAUUUUUAGUGGGGAUUA
rnacentral:rRNA from 1 species